rnacentral:rRNA from 1 species
AUUGAACGCUGGCGGCAGGCUUAACACAUGCAAGUCGAACGAGUGGCGGACGGGUGAGUAAUGCUUGGGAAUCUAGCUUAUGGAGGGGGAUAACUACGGGAAACUGUAGCUAAUACCGCGUACCAUAGGAUGAGCCCAAGUGGGAUUAGGUAGUUGGUGAGGUAAAGGAUCACAAAGCCGACGAUCUCUAGCUGGUCUGAGAGGAUGACAAGCCACAAGGGGAGUGAGAAACGGCCCAGACUCCGAAGGGAGGCAGGAGUGGGGAAGAUUGCGCAAUGGGGGCAACCUGACGCAGCCAUGCCGCGUGAAUGAAGAAGGCCUUCGGGUUGUAAAGUUCUUUCGGUAGCGAGGCGUUAACUACAGAAGAAGCACCGGCUAACUCCGUGCCAGCCGCCGCGGUAAUAC